rfam:Triticum aestivum genome assembly, contig: Triticum_aestivum_CS42_TGACv1_scaffold_049347_1BS
AUAGUACUCCCUCCCUCCCAAAAUUCUUGUCUUAGAUUUGUGUAGAUACAGAUGUAUCUAACGCUAAAACGUAACUAGAUACAUCCAUUAAGACAAAAAUUUUGGGAUGGAGGGAGUACUAC